UUGCCAAUGCCGCGAAAACCUAUAGGGUCACACACAAAGGACGGAUUGAUGAGAGAUAGAGUAACUAAGGAACACCGUAAGGUACCUGUCAACACAGACUUGACACACACACUUGCAGCAUAAUGUACUUUCAACAGACAAAUUAAAUCUAAACUAUAAAAGUAAAAAUAACACAACAAUCAAAUACUAAUAAAAUACAUAAAAU
rnacentral:lncRNA from 1 species